UUUUCAUUCGUUUUAUUCCCAUAGGUAAACUAUGUUUGUAUGUGUGUAUAUAAUUGUAGAUGGAUGCGAAAUGUGUAAAUGCAAACACAUCGGCAAAUUACCAAACCGAACGUAGCGGUAUAGUGUGUAGCCAAAGAAUAGUUAAAGGCGAAAUAUAUAUAAACUUGUGGUGAGAUCGGUAAAAGGUAGGUAGGUAGGUAUACACACCCGAAAACGAAACUUUCUGUUUACAAACAAACAAAAAAAAGGCAAUAAAAAUGCAAAAAUGGCAUGAGUAAUGCUCAUCUACAUGUAAGCUUACAACAAACAACUACGUGUUUGUAUUUGAAAAUACAUAUGUAUAUAUGUAUGUAUGUAUGUGCCCCAAACAAAGGCCCACAAGUUGCCGCCAUCUAGCGAACGCAAAAAGUUCGUCGUAAACCCCCUAUUGCUAAGUGUUUACACUGCCGCCAAACGCAACUAGCUGACGUUGAGACUUACACGAAGUUGUAGUGCUUGAGACUUUGAAAUUCCAGCGCUUUUCCGCACACAAAGUGCAUGUACAUACAAAUAACAAGUAGGUAUAUACGAUACCCUAAUGAAUGUAGAUAAAUUUAAUGGUUUUAUGAAUACCUGUAAGUUUCGUGUUGUACUGAGGUAGGGAGUGCCGAAUAGUAGGAUGAACCAAAAUAAAUACAUAAAGAAGAAAGAUGUUAUAAGCGAGAACAUUAGUGCAAACACAGCCACAUGUUGCACCAAAUCUAUGGACCCUAUGAAAAUAUAUGCCAUUUAAAAUGAAUGAAUACGCAUUAGGGUCUAUGAUAUAAGAGAAAGCAUAUGAAAUAUAUAUACUCCCAAUAGAGUUUUCCUCCAUAAUUUUCUCGGCCAAAGCCAGCUAAAGAUGUUUUCGUUAACAAAAUAUAACCAAUCUCCUAAAAUCAAAGCAGUCACGAUAUUAGUUUGACUUCAGAUUUGUAUCUUGUUGGCACAACAAUCUUGUAGACCAGUUCUGUAUAAGGUUUAAGUAUAAAAUGUGCAGGGAAUAUGGCUAUAAAACAUACAAUUUUUGUUCUAACCAUAAGCAAACACGUUAAAUUCACAGAUGCAUUUUUUUAAGGCAUGAAAGGGUAUAAAAAGAACUUGAUCUUGAUUUUAGUCGAUCAGUUUGUGUGGCAGCUAUAUGCUAUAGUAGUCCGAUCUGAACAAAUUGGUCGAAGAUUGUAGUGCUGCUUUGGAAAACAAACUGUGCCAAAUUUCGUUAAGGUGCCUUUUCAAAUGAGAAAGUUUUCCAUAAAAGAACUUGAGUUUGAUUUUUGUAGGGGUUAUCAAAUCACCCGGAGUCGGACCAUAGGGAGAAGGGUGUUAGAAGAGUGGGGUUCGUUGGGAAUGCAAAGAGGUGGUUACAAUCAUGCGGGGACUCAUUGCACGCUGGACAUAUGGUUGGUAUGUUGGGUUCGAUUCUGGAUAAGUACGAGUUUAACCUGCUACAAUAUCCAGAAGGAAGUAGCUCAAGGGUCACUCUAGAUUCUCGUGGCAACUCGACUUCUUCGUCUGCAUGGGUAGUGGUUUGACACCAAGUGUCAACGCUACGAGGAUCGUUCUCUCAUAGGGUGGUUUUAGAUUUAGGCCAUGAACUAUCUGGACACUUAUGACACUAAGUGCUGUGAUGGUUCUGUGCACUUUGCGGAAGCCAUGCUAGUGGUCUGCUAGGCUCAGGUGGUGAGUGAACGUCGGGAUUAGCAAAGCCUUAAGCGUAUUCACUACUGGGGAAAGGAGAGUUAUCGGACGAAACGUGGGACUACUCUUCCGACUUUCUACACACCGGGUAUUUGAAAGGUGUUGAUGACCUUGGUUAGAAAGCUUAGUUUCGGCGAGCUUAGAUGCUUUAGCAUCAACAUGUUUAUUCCAUCUCGGCCAAUGGAGUUGGAUGAUUUAACCUUGUCGAUGACACUCCGGACCUCCUUAUGGGUAAAAGUAGGUGGUACGCAGUCUCUUGGCAUUUUGCGCUGCCGUCGGGUAACAUAUCGUUUGGCCUUGUCUGUCGAAGGGUACAGUGUAAACUGCCGCGGGUCCGAGGAGGCAUGACCAUCGAAUUGAAUUUCAACCCGAUCGGAUGUCUCUUCGGAUUUGACAAGGCUUUGAGACCGGUGAAGAGGUUACAGAGCUUAUGCGAGAAUCACAGGGAUGGGCAUGGCGUAAGGUGUCGCGCUCGUUUGCUUAAAACAGUCGGAAUGAAGCGAGCGAUAGCAGCUGCCAUCACCUUGCGGAAUUGACGUUCGCGUCUGCGAGAUAUAAUUUAGAAGGCCUUAAACAAUGGUUUUUUUUUUUGUUCAAUUACAACUAAAGGGGUUUCCAAUAAGAGUGAUAUGAUUUAAAAAAAACACUAACUGUUAAGUAAAUUUAAAGUUUUUUUUUGCCUCCACGACUUCUUUUGCAGGAACGAAUUCGAUGGACUCAAUUUUCGAGUACUUUUUCCACUAAAUCAAGAAUAGGACGUUCAAUAUUGACUUCUAAAGCUUGAAGAGAGUCUGGUUUAUUGCUAAAGACCAAUGACUUCAAAUAACCCCACAAGAAAUAGUAAAAUGAUGUUAAAUCACAACUUUUCCACACAACCAUUCAAUGUCACAAUUUCUUGAAAUUAUCGAAUCUCCAAAGUUUUCUCGCAACAAUUCGAUUGUUGCACGUGCUCAGAUGUUGUCGAAUUCAACUUUUUCCAAUUGCGGAAAAUUGCGGUUAUUGAUCUAUAUCGCUUUCCAUUGACAGUAACGGUAUCACCAGCUUCGUUUCGAAAGAAGUACGGACAGAUGAUUCCACCAGAGCAAAAACCACACCAUACUGUCAAUUUAGGGGAAUGUAAUGGUUGUUCAUGAAGAAUUUGUGGAUUUUCUUUACACCAGAAUCGACAAUUUUGUUUAUUUACCGCACCACUCAGAUGAAAGUGAUCCUUAUCGAAAAAUAUGACUUUCUUAAAAAAAAAAAAUCGUGAUCGUUUUCAAGUUGUUCAAAGGCAAAAUCAGCAAAUUUAUCACGCUUACGGUGGUCCAAUGGCUUCAGUUCUUGAGUGAGAACAACUUUAUAUGGAUGCAAGCUCAAUUCUUUCUCAAAAUCCGACAAAUUGUGAAGGGAGACAGUCCCAAUUCUUGAGAACGUCGGCAAAUUGCCGUCUUCAGCAAGACUUGCCUGAACGGCAGCAAUAUUUUCAAUAUUUCGAACGGUUCUUCGUCUUAUUGAAACUUGAACAUUAUUUAAAGAAAAUGUGCACUCGAAAUGUUCAAAAAUUCGACGAAUAGUGAGCACAGGUGGACGAUUAUACGACCAUAAAAUGCGGUCGAUGUCGCCAUCGAUGAGAUGAUAUUGCACUGUGUUGUGCAGUAUGAAGGCUAAGCCUCGCUCGCGACCCUUACAUAUUACGUUAAAACCUUUUUUUUUUGGACCGCAGCUAACGAUACGCGUUUCCGGCUAAUAAAUUCAGUCUCCCAGUCUUACUCUGAAGUCCGUUGUAGUUAAAUUGUGAAAGUCGAGUUUGUCGCUGGUGUCUAGGGGUGAUCCUGGGAGUGAGGGAGUGGCGUGUAGGUGGUGGUUGUUGCCGCUGUAGAAUCCGCAGGGGCGGUUGCCGCAUUGUGGUGUUGUUUGGCGACGCCACUAUAGAGUAUUGCGUGGGCAGACUGCUGAAGGGCUUGAAUCGGUAAGUUGUAGGUUUUCAAAAAAACAAAGAACUAAUUCGCGUAUAUAGACGACGGACAUGGCUAAAUCGGCUCAUUACGCUGAUCAAUUAUAUAUGUAUAUAUGUAGAUAUAUGCUUUGUGGGGUCUCCGAUGUUUUCAUCAAACUUCGUGGCAAACGUAAUAUACCUUGUGCAGGAUAUAAGAAGGCAUUGAAAUUGAAAAAUAUUUCGAAUAAUCCAUGGAAUCAUAUUAUUCAAGAACAUACGAACCCUAAGGAAAAUACGAGAAUUAUAAAAAAAGAAUUUAAUAUAGACCUACAUGCAUACAUAUAUGUAUAGCUAAAAAUAUGCAUAUACUGAACGUGAUACCCCGCACUCCACAUGUCUAAACAUACUCGAGCAUACGUAAAAUGUAUGCGCCAACGAAGUCAGUUCGGCAACGAACAUACGAACAAAAUAACCAAUAAAACAAAAACAAAAAAAUAUUUUACUAAACAAAAUAUUAAGGUAUGUAGACAUAAACACAUACAUGUAUAUAUAUACAAACACACUAUUUAUGUACUAAGUGAACGUCAGUCACACAACUUUCAUAACAGACCUUGCGACGGUCACCAUUGAUGAUGGCGUCUUGACUUAUCAGCUGAAUAUUCAUUGGAAGCGAUUGAUUGUGCAAGUCCAGAAUAAUAUAUAUUUAUAUAGGUGUAUGUAAGUGCACACAUAGACGUCUGUUUACUUUCAAGCGCACAAAUCUUCUCACAAAAAAUGUUAUGCGGAAUUAAUAUGAAGUCUCUUGGUAUAAGCAUUAAUACAAGUACCUAUGUACCUUGCAAAAACACAAUAAGUUAAAACUUUAAGGAAAACCUGUUUAGAAACAAUGCCGGCAAUUCGCACACAGUGUAUAUGUAUUAAUAAUCACAGCAGUGGAAUCAUAAAGUCAUAUUCAUAUGAGCGAAAAAGCUGCUGGCAUCACUAACUCAUAAAAUUUGGUGCUCUCCAUCAAGUUAGGCACACCGAUUAUUGACUGAAGCUCUUUGGCAAAUCAGUUUGUGAUAAUAAUGAAUAUGUUUAAAUAUUAAUAAUUGUAAUUUACGCAUUCGUUGUUAAUUACAUUUUUGAAUCUACUGACGUCUUUAUAUAUUUGACAAGCUAAAACCUUUCUGACUUAGAGCAAAACAUAUCAACGAUAGUGUAAACACAAAAUUAUAUACAAUAUAAGAAAGUGAUAAUGUUUGUUUUCCAGGUUAUUUUCCGGACCAAUAGAUGGAGCCAUGAUAUGUGAAAUUAUGUAAGAUAAUUUAAUUUAACAGUUCGAAAUGUUGGAGAUUACGAUGGCUAAGCUUAAAGUUCUCUUCCAUAAAUAUCACCGGUAUUCAAAUGUGACCUUACUGAUAAUCAGACAUAAAUAUCCAAUAAUUGUAUUUGUUACUGUAAUGGGAAAUAUUAAUGCUAGGGGACAAUACUAGCGUGGAUGCAAAAAUCAGACUUUUUAAUACCUGACAAAUGAAGAAGUUAGUAGUGCUGCAAACCUGCUUAAGAUACAUAUACAGGGCUACAAUGAACGGUAGUAUUGGUAGUACAAAUAUAUUGUCCAUACCGAGAUAUAAGCAUGAAGUACUCAUACUUUUAAUCAUGAUGUAAACGCGCUCGCCAAAGGUGGUAAGAUGUAGUGCUCAAAUAAAUUAAUCUACUUAUCACAUUUACACUCAUAUUUUAUAUUAAAUGCAUGGUAUUUGCAAAUAAAUUGCAUCGACAUUUUUAUAUAAAAUACAUGAGACGAAAAUCCAGUGAGAGCAAUUUAUAAAAUAAUGGAUACACACACGCUAUAUGCAUCAACUCACCACGAAAGUAAGCAAGCGGCACAAGAAAAUUCACCAUUAAACAUGAAUAGCUGCAUCAACACAAGAGACUUUUGGGUGAAAAAGUUAAAAACGAUGAUGAAAAUAAACGAAAACACGAGAAACGACCAAUAAUCUGGUCAAAAUACAUAUUUACCUAAACAAAAACUAAACCAUUCAUACACUUUCUUAAAUUAUACAAGAAAAACGAAACGAUGAAACAACUUGAUUAUAAAAACAAAUUUGAAAAGAACCAAAACAAAUUGUAUAAUAUUUACAAAUGUCCUUCGAGUAUAGAAAACAUUAAUGAAUUAAGCGCAACAAACAAUUACAUGUGCGCAUUUUGUCG